UACGAAGGGGGCUAGCGUUGUUCGGAUUUACUGGGCGUAAAGCGCACGUAGGCGGAUUUUUAAGUCAGGGGUGAAAUCCCGGGGCUCAACCCCGGAACUGCCUUUGAUACUGGAAGUCCUGAGUAUGGUAGAGGUGAGUGGAAAUUCCGAGUGUAGAGGUGAAAUUCGUAGAUAUUCGGAGGAACACCAGUGGCGAAGGCGGCUCACUGGACCAUUACUGACGCUGAGGUGCGAAAGCGUGGGGAGCAAACAGG
rnacentral:rRNA from 1 species